UGAAUCUUAAGAUAGUGUUUGCAGCCAGCCU
rnacentral:piRNA from 1 species